rnacentral:rRNA from 1 species
GAUGAACGCUGGCGGCGUGCCUAAUACAUGCAAGUCGAGCGAAUGGAUUAAGAGCUUGCUCUUAUGAAGUUAGCGGCGGACGGGUGAGUAACACGUGGGUAACCUGCCCAUAAGACUGGGAUAACUCCGGGAAACCGGGGCUAAUACCGGAUAACAUUUUGAACCGCAUGGUCUGAAAUUGAAAGGCGGCUUCGGCUGUCACUUAUGGAUGGACCGGCGUCGCAUUAGCUAGUUGGUGAGGUAACGGCUCACCAAGGCAACGAUGCGUAGCCGACCUGAGAGGGUGAUCGGCCACACUGGGACUGAGACACGGCCCAGACUCCUACGGGAGGCAGCAGUAGGGAAUCUUCCGCAAUGGACGAAAGUCUGACGGAGCAACGCCGCGUGAGUGAUGAAGGCUUUCGGGUCGUAAAACUCUGUUGUUAGGGAAGAACAAGUGCUAGUUGAAUAAGCUGGCACCUUGACGGUACCUAACCAGAAAGCCACGGCUAACUACGUGCCAGCAGCCGCAGUAA